GUGCUUGCUUCAGCAGCACAUAUACUGAAAUUGGAAAGAUACAGAGAAGAUUAGCAUGGCCCCUCUGCAAGGAUGACACACAAAUUUGUGAAGUGUUCAAUUUUUUU
rnacentral:snRNA from 1 species